UACGUAGGGGGCCAGCGUUGUCCGGAUUCAUUGGGCGUAAAGCGCGUGUAGGCGGCCAGGUAGGUCCGAUGUGAAAUCUGGAGGCUCAACCUCCAGCGGUCAUUGGAAACCAUCUGGCUAGAGUCCGGAAGAGGAGAGUGGAAUUCCGAGUGUAGAGGUGAAAUUCGUAGAUAUUCGGAAGAACACCAGUGGCGAAGGCGACUUACUGGACACAUAUUGACGCUGAGGUGCGAAGGCGUGGGGAGCAAACAGG
rnacentral:rRNA from 1 species